rnacentral:rRNA from 1 species
UACACUCCUACGGGAGGCAGCAGUGGGGAAUUUUGGACAAUGGGCGAAAGCCUGAUCCAGCAAUGCAGCGUGAGUGAAGAAGGCCUUCGGGUUGUAAAGCUCUUUUGUCAGGGAAGAAACGGUGAGAGCUAAUAUCUCUUGCUAAUGACGGUACCUGAAGAAUAAGCACCGGCUAACUACGUGCCAGCAGCCGCGGUAAUACGUAGGGUGCAAGCGUUAAUCGGAAUUAUUGGGCGUAAAGCGUGCGCAGGCGGUUUUGUAAGUCUGAUGUGAAAUCCCCGGGCUCAACCUGGGAAUUGCAUUUGAGACUGCAAUGCUAGAAUCUGGCAGAGGGGGGUAGAAUUCCACGUGUAGCAGUGAAAUGCGUAGAUAUGUGGAGGAACACCGAUGGCGAAGGCAGCCCCCUGGGUCAAGAUUGACGCUGAUGCACGAAAGCGUGGGGAGCAAACAGGAUUAGAUACCCGUGUAGUCC